rnacentral:tRNA from 1 species
GGGGCUAUAGCUCAGUGGUACAGCACUUGCCUUGCAUGUAAGAGGCAUUGGGUCCGAUCCUCAGUACCACA